CACAUCAAAUAUGAUCAGCUGGUUUCAGGAAACCAACUAACUAAACUUCAUCUUCUGCCUGAAAUCAAGGAGCCGUGUUUCUAAACGGCCUUAGCGACAGUAACUAAGGGGCGGGGCGAGACGCCGUGACAUCGCGAGAACACUCCGCGGGAUCCCGCAGCGCUCCUGUAUCUCAGCCUGAAGAGCUCCGAGACCAGAAUCCAGACUCGGUCCAGGACAACACGGUCCACCAGUCACAGCGGAGACCUGCAGGACGAUGGAGAACCAGAACCCGGACCGCAGGAGCCAAACAGCAGCCUCGUGCUCUGAUAGCGCCGAUGUUCAGAGAAAGAGAGGAGGAG